UUGAAGUUGUACAAACUUUGCUGUUUCAUGUAUAUGACGUUGACACUCAAUUUCACAAUGUAGAUGUUAAGAUGAUCAAGCUAGAUGAGCAACAAUUUCUUGGUGAAGCGUCUUGUGCAUUGUCUGAGAUUUUGACCAAAUCAAAUAGGUCUCUGACCUUAGAUCUCGUCCAAAAAGAAGAUUCUACAAUAUCAAGCCAUCCCCAUCGUGGGCAACUUCUUGUGCAUGCUGAGGAAUGCAUUAGCUCAAAGACUACAACUGAGAUGAUAUUAAGGUGUUCAGAUUUGGAGCACAAGGAUCUGUUCUCAAGAAUUAACCCUUUUCUGGUAAUCUCAAAAACUGUUGAGAGUGGGAUCCCAAUUCCUGUGUGUAAAACAGAAGUCCUAAAGAAUGAUCACAACCCAAUAUGGAAACCAAUCUUUUUGAAUAUUCAACAAGUUGGAAGCAAGGAUAGCCCACUGGUGAUAGAGUUCUACAACUUCAAUAGUAGUGGCAAGCAUGAUUUGAUUGGAGAAGUUCGAAAAUCCCUAGCAGACUUGGAAAAGCUUCAUUCUAGUGGGAAAGGUGAAAAUUUAUUUUCACCCAACGCUGGUGGACAUGAUCGCAACAAGGUAUUAAAAAGCCAGCUAUUUGUGGACAAGUUUUCUGAAAGCAUUCAAUAUACAUUUCUGGAUUACCUGAAAGGAGGAUGUGAGCUGAACUUCAUGGUGGCUAUUGAUUUCACAGCUUCAAAUGGAAAUCCCCGCCUCCCUGAUUCCUUGCAUUAUCUUGAUCCUUCAGGACGAUUAAAUGCGUACCAGCAAGCAAUCGUAGAAGUUGGAGAAGUGUUGCAAUUUUAUGAUUCAGACAAGCGCUUCCCUGCCUGGGGAUUUGGAGCACGGCCAAUUGAUGGUCCAGUUUCUCACUGUUUUAACUUGAAUGGAAGCAAUAAUCACUGUGAGGUUGAUGGAAUCCAAGGAAUUAUGAUGUCAUAUAGUAGUGCUCUAUUGAAUGUUUCUUUAGCGGGUCCAACACUUUUUGGGCCUGUGAUAAGCACUGCUGCACUAAUUGC
rnacentral:misc_RNA from 1 species